rnacentral:tRNA from 1 species
CCGCUCUGGAGCACGCCUGGCUCGACGUCCUCGCCGGUCGUACGCCACCCGAGGUGGGGCGGGUCGUCCAGUUCUGAUCGCGAGGAGCGGGC